UGCUGUCUACCCCUGACCAUAAACAAGACACCUCUGCUGCUGCUAAGACUCCCUCUCCUGACGCGCAGCCGGGGAAAUCGCAGCCGUCCAACGCCCAACUGGAAACCGCCAAAGGUUUCUUGGUGGAAAGUGUUUUCAAGAUUUCAGACUUCCAUCAAACAAAACAUAACAGGGCAACGACCGUGACUCCCCGCCAUCCUGACUCCCCAGCGCGGGCACUGAGGAACCCCCCUCUGAGGCCCAGAGGAGAUCGCCCCCGAUCAGUCCGUUGCCGGCAGGGCCUUCCAGCAGGGGACAUACAGUUAUGUGUUGUGCCCUGUGAUGGCAAUUUCUAAAAUCCAAGUAAU